UACGUAGGGGGCUAGCGUUGUCCGGAAUCAUUGGGCGUAAAGCGCGUGUAGGCGGUCCGGUAAGUCCGCUGUGAAAGUCGGGGGCUCAACCCUCGAAUGCCGGUGGAUACUGUCGGGCUAGAGUGCGGAAGAGGCGAGUGGAAUUCCUGGUGUAGCGGUGAAAUGCGCAGAUAUCAGGAGGAACACCAAUUGCGAAGGCAGCUCGCUGGGACGUUACUGACGCUGAGACACGAAAGCCAGGGGAGCAAACGGG
rnacentral:rRNA from 1 species